CCUUGGUAUCCAGAAGCGAUGAAGGACGUGGUUACCGGCGAAACACUUCGGGGAGCUGGAAACAAGCAAAGAUCCGGAGUUGUCCGAAUGAGGAAACUCAAUAACUCCUUGCUGAAUUUAUAAGCAAGCUGAGAGCGAACCCAGGGAACUGAAACAUCUUAGUACCUGGAGGAAAAGAAAGUAAAAACGAUUCCCGGAGUAGCGGCGAGCGAAAUGGGACCGGCUUAAACAUUUUAAGUUUUCAUACCUAAAGUGGGUAGUGGGGAACAAUGCUUCAGCCUUAUAUUAAAGUGAAAAUUAGGUUAGUUAGUUGGAAAGCUAAGCCAUAGAAAGUAAUAGCCUUGUAACCGAAAAUUUUCUUUUUUUUUUUCUGACUGUAAGAGUGAUUUUCUUUUUGGAAACUAAAGCUAAGAGAAAAACAGAAAAAAGAAACUUAGGUUGUUUUGUUGCCCCGAGUAGCAUGGGCCACGUGAAAUCCCGUGUGAAUCUGCGAGGACCACCUCGUAAAGCUAAAUAUUCCUGGAUGUCCGAUAGUGAACAAGUACCGCGAGGGAAAGGUGAAAAGAACCCCGGAAGGGGAGUGAAAUAGAUCGUGAAAUUGCAAGCUUACAAACAGAAGGUGAACGACUUAGCGUUUUACUUCGUGCCUGUUGAAGAAUGUUCCGGCGACUUAUAUCUAGUGGCAGGUUAAGAUAGAAAUAUUGGAGCCAUAGUGAAAGCGAGCUUGAAUAGAGCGAAAUGUCUCUAGAUAUAGACCCGAACCCGCUUGAUCUAACCAUGGCCAGGAUGAAACUUAGGUAAUACUAAAUGGAGGUCCGAACCGACUAAUGUUGAAAAAUUAGCGGAUGAGUUGUGGUUAGGGGUGAAAUGCCAAUCGAAAGCGGAGCUAGCUGGUUCUCCCCGAAAUGUAUUUAGGUGCAGCGGUUAAUAUUUUAGCGUAGGGGUAAAGCACUGUUUCGGUGCGGGCUGGUAAUUCGGUACCAAAUCGAGGCAAACUCAGAAUACUACGUGUACAAUUAGCCAGUAAGACUACGAGGGAUAAGCUUCAUAGUCAAGAGGGAAACAGCCCAGAUCACCAGCUAAGGCCCCAAAAUAAUUGCUAAGUGAAAAAGGUAGUGUAAAAGCUUUUACAACCAGGAGGUUUGCUUAGAAGCAGCAAUCCUUUAAAAAGUGCGUAAUAGCUUACUGGUCUAGCGGUUAUGCGCCGAAAAUUUACGGGACUAAGCAAUUUGCCGAAGCUGUGAGAUAAAUUUUAUUAUAUGUCUAUAUCUAAUAUGGAAACAUAUAUAAAAGAUAUCGGUAGGGGAGCGUUCCAUUGUAGGUUGAAGUACCAGCGAAAGCGGAUAUGGACGAAAUGGAAGUGAGAAUGCCGGAUUGAGUAGCGAAAACAUUGGUGAGAAUCCAAUGCUCCGAAACCCUAAGGUUUCCUUUGGAAGGUUCGUCCACGAAGGGUUAGUCAGGACCUAAGGUGAGGCUGAAAAGCGUAAUCGAUGGACAAUAGGUUAAUAUUCCUAUACUGAGUGUUGUUUGUAUCGAGGGACGAAGUAGGCUACAUUAGCCGGAAAUUGGUUACCGGUUCAAGUAUACGAGGUGUUGAGAAAUAGAGAAAAUAUUUUGAGCUAAGAUAUGAGUACAAGAUUCUAAGAAAUCAAAGUAAUUUAUGUCAAACUUCCAAGAAAAGCUCGCAAUGCGUUAAGCAAUACUCACCUGUACCUUAAACCGACACAGGUAGGGAGGUAGAGAAUACCAAGGAGCGCGAGAGAACCCUCCUUAAGGAACUCGGCAAAAUAGCUCUGUAACUUCGGAAGAAAGAGUGCCCAUUGGGCUGCAAUAUCAAGUUCCAAGCAACUGUUUAGCAAAAACACAGGUCUCCGCUAAGUUGCAAGACGACGUAUGGGGGCUGACGCCUGCCCAGUGCUAGUAAGUUAAAGAAGCAGGUCAAGUCUGUUAACGCAGGCUGAAGCUUGUAACUAAAGCCCUAGUGAACGGCGGCCGUAACUAUAACGGUCCUAAGGUAGCGAAAUUCCUUGUCGGGUAAGUUCCGACCCGCACGAAUGGCGUAAUGAUUUGGAAGCUGUCUCAAGGAGGGACUCGGCGAAAUAGAAUUGUCUGUGAAGAUGCGGACUACUUGCGCCAGGACAGUAAGACCCUAUGAAGCUUUACUGUAUCCUGAAAUUGAGUAUUGAUUUGGCUUGCGCAGAAUAGGUGGGAGACUAUGAAUCUAUUUUUCUGGGAGUAGAGGAGUCAUUUUUGAGAUACCACUCUGGCGAGAUUGAUAUUCUAAUUUUAAACCAUAAGCUGGUUAAAAAACAUUUUCAGGUGGGCAGUUUCACUGGGGCGGUGGCCUCCUAAAAGGUAACGGAGGCGUACAAAGGUUUUCUCAGAUCGUUUAGAAAUCGAUUUUAGAGUGCAAAGGCAAAAGGAAGCUUGACUGUGAGACAAACAAGUCGAGCAGAGACGAAAGUCGGUCUUAGUGAUCUGACGCUACUGUGUGGAAAGGGCGUCACUCAACGGAUAAAAGUUACUCUAGGGAUAACAGGCUGAUCUCCUCCAAGAGCUCCUAUCGACGAGGAGGUUUGGCACCUCGAUGUCGGCUCAUUGCAUCCUGGGGCGGUAGUACGUCCCAAGGGUUGGGCUGUUCGCCCAUUAAAGCAGUACGUGAGCUGGGUUCAGAACGUCGCGAGACAGUUCGGUCCAUAUCCGGCGUGAGCGUGAGAGUAUUGCGAGUGACCUUUCUUUAGUACGAGAGGACCGAGAAAGACAUGCCGCUAGUGUAUCAGUUAUCGUGCCAUCGGUAAACGCUGAGUAGCUAUGCAUGGUUAGGAUAACCGCUGAAAGCAUCUAAGUGGGAAGCCGUCCUCAAGAUGAGUACUCUUAGGUUGCGGCAAGACGAGCCGCUUAAUAGGUAUUCGGUGUACAUAUAGCAAUAUAUUUAGCCAAGAUAUACUAAUAACCAUAUUCUUAAGC
rnacentral:rRNA from 1 species